CCAGGAGGAGGAAAAAGUCUUCCUGCCAGUUUGAGGUAAGAACGCCUUUUUCCCAUCAGCAGCUUUUUGGAUAGCAUCUUCCAAAAUCUUUCCAAAGAGGAGAUCCCCCUGAAACGGAAGAGCACACAGGGAAGCCUUAGAGGCAUAGUCAGCACCCCAUGAAUGCAGCCACAAAGCCCUUCUAGAAGCCACCGACAGGGCCAUGCUUUUAGCAAUCAUGCGAGUGAUAUCCAGGGAGGCCUCUGAACAGAAUUCCGUGGCUAGAUUAAGGUCCUUGAGGCUUUCCAACAGAUGCUCCCUUCGGAUACCUUGCUCAAUGUCAUCCUUCAGAUUAGC